rnacentral:lncRNA from 1 species
CUGAAGUUCCGCUGUGGGAGCCUCGGGUAGGGACGGAGAGAGGACACGACCCACCGGUUUUCUCCGUCAGAGUUGGUUCCUGGCCUCACCCCGGCCCCUUCUGGGCGGCUGCUGCUGACUGCUCUCCUUUCCCUCCCCCAGAAGCUGGGUUCCGAGUUAGAAACCGCAUUCCCACCCACUGAAUCGAGACUCUCCGAGAAGGAAUGGAUAACAAGGGGACAGCUACGGAAUCCGAAAGCAAGCUCCGCUCUUAACAUCUGUUUGUUCUUGUACUGGUUUGGCUUUUGUUCUGUUGUUGUUGUUGUUGUUGUUCCCCUAAGGACCAAGCACGGUGUUUUUGAAUGGACGUUUCUGGAUUUUGAUAGAUCCGAGAGGCUGCCCGGGUAAGGGGCGGUGGAAUGAGCCAUGUCGUAAAUCCUCCCUAGCACCUGGCCCUAAACUAAAGCAGCCUUGCAGUUAGUCCCGGGGUGGGGUGGGGGUGAGGGCGACAAUAGGAUUACCCUCCUAAAUUAAACCUUUAAAUCCUACCUAGUUCCUUCACUAAUCUGCUAAACUCAGACUCCACCCUUCCUUCGAAGGACUACAAAUGUAAGGAAUCCCCUUGGUUGUGUGACUUGCUCUUGGAUUCCCCACCAUAUUCCAGCCCUCACCCCAAAGCCCACCAGUGUUAUUAAAGGAUCUGGUCUCCUGAAAUACGUCCCAGCAGCCGUCUAUAGCGAACCAGUGAAGAAACCGAGGCUGAGCAAAGGUUAAUUGUUGAGAAAUCACACAGGCAGUGAAUGGUAGAAUGGACUGAGACUGGAGCCCCAGUGUUGACUCAGCCAUUGACAUGCAAGCCUGCUUAUACUGUCUCACUUUUACAAAUCAUGAAUAAAAAUAAGAAAUGAAUAUUUCAGGCAGGCACUGGAAUUCACAACUUAGAAGACAAACGUCUUCUCUUAUGAUGAUCCACAUAAUAAAAAAGACUCAAGAAGAAGAUCCACUGUCACUCUUACUGGCAAGCCCCAUGCCCAGAAGGAGACCAGGAGCGCAAGACCAGCUCGAUGACAUUUUCGUUUUAUCCCAUUCCAAUUCGUGUCCAUUGACUCAUUUCCCUACUAUUUCUUAGAUGCUUGUUUUCUAUGAGAGAAGGGUGUGAUUAGGGUGGGAGGGGAGAGGGGAAGAGGUGGGGGAGGGGAAACUGUCAUCAGAAUGUACUGUAUCGAAAAGAAAACCAACAACCUAUUUUC